ACCUGCCCUAUGAGUUAUUAAAUGGCUGCGGUAUUUUGACCGUGCAAAGGUAGCAUAAUAAUUAGUUUUUUAAUUGAGAACUGGAAUGAAUGGUUGGACGAGAAAAAUACUGUCUCAAUUUAAAUUAAAUUAGAAUUUUAUUUUUAAGUUAAAAAGCUUAAAUGUAUUUAAAAGACGAGAAGACCCUAUAGAGUUUUAUAUAAAGUAUUAUAUAUUAAAUAUUUAAGUAUUAAAUUUUAUUUAUUUUAUUUUUUAUUUAGUUGGGGUGAUUAAAAAAUUAAAAUAACUUUUUUUAUUUGAAAUCAUAAAUUUAUGUAUAAUUGAUCCAUUAUUAAUGAUUAAAAGAUUAAAUUA
rnacentral:rRNA from 1 species